GGGCGGCGGGGAGAGGGGAGCGGGACCCGUCCCGGCCCUCCGGCGGGGCGCUGUUCCGCGGCGCGCUGUGCUGCAGCGGGGCGGGGGACCCCGGGCUGUCAGCUCAGUGCCGGAAGGGGAGGCCCGGCCGCUAACGGUCGGCACUGCGCCCGGGCCUCGUCCCCUCUCAGUGCCCGCCGGCGGCUCGGCCCGACCCGGCCCGGCCCUGCUCUCCCGGGCUGCCCGAGCCGCUGCGUGAGGCGCCCGCCGUUCCCGCAGCCGCUCGGUGCGGUGCGCACUGGUCCGGCAGCGCCGCCCUGCUGCCCUCAGCGCCGGGGCUGCGCCGCUCGGAAGCGCGGCCGCCAUCCGUCAUAAUGGCUUUGGCUGCUAGAGUUCACGUGCUUGGUUCUCUGGGAUGCGGUGCUUCUUUCGUUUUCGUCUUUCUACCCGUUCAUUUUCAAAGUUUUUAAGCGUUUUCGCGUGCUCUGGAGAACGUGCACCCUUACAAAGAGGUGCAUGAACCUCCGCAAAGAAAGCAGUUUUAACUCCACUGCUGCUUCUGGCACUGCAGUUAAAUUCAGUUCUUCAUCCUUAUUAGUUUAUUUCAUAAUCGAUAUUUACUGGGUUUGGAGUGAGCCAGUGUGCGGAGAGUGCUCUCAGAUCGUUCUGGGAAUCCGAGCGUGGAGAGAGAUCCGUGGAUUUCAACACUGCUAGAACUUCUCAUCAGAUGCUUUGUUUAAUUUUAAACGGAGUGGUGCUUUAUUUUGCAGCAUAUUGCUCAAAACCACACGGAUUCACACCUACAAGUCUGACUUUAUCUGUCAGCUACAAAGAAAUGGGAGCUUUUUCUAGAAUCUGAAAAUCUGAAGCUCGUUUAGAAGGAAGCUGAAAGUGCAGCCUUCUGUCAGGAGCACCCUGUGCCUUCCACCCGAGUGGUACUCUGAUCUUCUCAGCUGAGGGGUGAUGGCUUUUUAAGUUUAGUUCUGAUGUUCUGCUGGGGUUUUCUUGACCUAGAAACAUACUGAUGGGUCUUAACCAUUACAGAUUUGUAAACUGAUCCUUUGUAACCUAUUUGCAGCGUUUUUAUACUUCCCUAGCUGUUAUCACCUAUUACAUGAUAUUUUGUAACUACUCUUCAGUCAGCCCAGAUAAACAACCUGUUACAGGACGUGCCAUGCAGGUUCAUUUUACUCAAAGUUUCUCUGCUGCUCCAUCACUAUGUAGCAGCUUUUAAGAACUUCUGGACUGUGUCCAGCAUUAAAUCAGUGUUCUGAAGAGUGCACUGCUCAAUGUGACUGUUGAGAGUUCAGCUUUUUUUUUUUUUUAGUGUAUGUGUGUGUGAGAUAAGCGUCUGCUGUAUCAUCCCUCAUACCUUCUGGUAUGAUGCCACUCUUGACUUUGCUAUUUAAAGGGGGAGAAAAAACUUUUUGUACAUGUGGAAGAAUUUAGGCAGUUCUUGUGUUUCUGCUUUAGUUUCCUGAUAUUUUAUUUUGAUUUUUUUUUUAGCUUGCUUGGAAGGGUAACUUUCACUCAUCGUACAAAUAGAAGCAUCUGAAGGUACCUUGAAAUAUGACCUUACCUUUAACAGAUAUUUCGCUUAUAUUUAAAAAAAUUCUGUCAGAUCAUCCCCCGUGUGAAUUACCUUUUUGACAGAGAUACUCUAUUGUGUCUUAAACAUCUGUUUUUCUUGUUCCUUGACGUUCUUUUUAGCUCCGGUCUUGCCACAUUCACCUUUUUGUCUUAUCGCCUCCUCCCUGCUCGCUCUGCUCUGCUGGUGAUAGACUUCAGCAUCCCAACCCCUGUCCUUUCUUAUGGUUAUCUUUACCCCUUGCUGUGCUUUUUCCUUUCCUGGAAGUUUUGCACUAAGGCUGGAAAAUUUCCUGCUUCUCUUUGAAGCCCCUCACUGAGAUGCAUUCUGUUAAUGGUUUUACUUCUUGCAGACCGUUGUGAAGCUGAGCGUUUUCUAAACAGACCUACAUAACUCAUACCGACAUGGUUGGGGUUUGACCAUGUUGCCCAUUUUUCACCUGUACUCUCUAAGAAGAUGUGUCAAAAAGCGCACGUGAAGGGAAGGGAGAUGCUUUUAUAGUCUAUGAUAUAUAUGCUUGACAGGAUUUUGCAUAGUAAGUUGGAUUUUCUUUCCCAGAAAGACCCCGAUUGGUCUAAUUAUUUGGAGUUUAAUACCUGGUUAUACUAGCAGUGGCAUUUUUAAUAAAUUGACUAUGUCAGCAUCUUGUCUGACAGAAGCCCAGAUUUGAAGUUCCAGACUUUAAAGCCUUAGUGGCUUUUGCACUGCAAAAUCAAGAGAAUAAUAUUAUAUACUUAACCUGAAAAAUGUAUCUCUUUUUUUUUUUGAGAGAGAGAUUUUUAUUUCUUUUGGAAUCUCUUUUCUUUUAACUGUGUCUACUUUGGCUGCAGUAGUUGUGUGCCGUAGUAAUUUGCUGGAAGAAGUAACUUUGGUUCUAUUUUUUGUUCCACUUCUUUAAAGGCAAACAGGCAGUAAGAUAACGUGUGUGUUUUCCAGAAUUGAAGUUAUACCUUUGAGGUCGUAUUUCUUGUUUCUAAUCUGAAUAAUUCUGUCUCACAGGGAGACUCAGCAGGAGAGGUGAACUCCUUAAUGUUACGUGGAAAGCUAUGUCUUCUUAGGAAAGUUGUCAUUUUAUUAGUAUACAGCAAUAAAAUUAAGCCCGCUCUGCAUUAAUAGGUAUCAAACUCUGAUAGCCAUUGUUUGGAAUGGCAUUUUUAUUAAUUAAUUUCCAAAGUUCUCUUAAAAAGCUGAGAUUCAGUCACUGUCAUCUGAUUCAGCCCUUGAUUUUCAUGUUUGGUUUAUCAUAAGCAGCUUUAUCUUUUUUGCCUUUUUUUCUUUUCCUUAAGCAUUCACAGCAUUCAAAAUUGCGUAAACUGAACAAACAGUGUUUCCAGAAGUCUUUAGAAUAGUGAGUAAAAGAGAAACUUGGUGCAUGUUAGCUUCCCUGGUUGAAAUCAUGUCAGCUAUCUUUUCGAAUGAUAGAUUAUUGAAUAAUCUCACUGUAUGUAUUUGGAUAAUUUUAUGAUCAUUAAAGAUAGUGUCCCUUUUUCCUUCUGAAACUCUUGAGCAGUGGUGGCCUUUAACAAGUGAGAAUAUGCUUCACAGUUUCCAUGAAGAAUAGCAGGUAGUACUGACUGACCUGGGGACAAGCUCUAAAGAGGCUUGUUGCUUUCUUCACUGGCCCCAAACAUUCCUUCUUUGCCUUUGUAUUCCCCAUGAUCUUAUUACUGUAUUUUAUUUCCUAAUAGAGUUCCUUUGCAGUCUUUAAAGGAGUGUGAUUUUUUGCACAGAACUUACAACUUGCAUUGUGCUGUUCAGCUGGAAAGUUUUUUGAGCUCCUUUAAUUGAUUUAGGGGUGGAGGAAUAACAGCAAAACUACUUCCUUUGCUGCAUCCCACAGCUAACGUAAUUGAAGAGAAGAGAAACGGUAACUCUUCAGUACAGGAUCCUGAAAAUCGUCUGUUUUACUGGCGUGUAAAUUUCAAAUAUUUCAGAGAAAGAACUCAGUGUUCUAUCUUGGGGUUGUUUCUUCAGUUAAGCCUGUCUCCAUUUGGAGGCAACUACAGUAACACUGCUCUUGUAAUGUCUUUCUCUUUUUUUUUUUAAUGUAUGUGUUUAAGUAAAUGUGUGCUUUUUAAAAUAGCUUCAUUGAUCACCAAAAAGUAAUAACAAAGUCAGAAUAAAUGUUACUCUCUCGAUUAAAGGUCAUUUCCCCUCUAAUGAAAAUUAAAAGGGAAGAAGAGCUUGAUCACUUGAGUUGAUCCCAUCUUUUUUGCUUAGAUAAUUAGAAUGUACAAGUCAAGGUGUCAUGUCAGUAUAACGUCUUCAACCUCCCCUGAAAAUGUUCUAACCCCCACCCCCCUUCUUCCUUUUCUCUAGUCUUCUUGACACCUAUAUUUUGGUAACAUGUAAAAGUGGAGGCAGGCUGUUUGGAAGCAGGGGUGUGAGCUGCUUGCUUUAAUUCCCGGCUUUGCUAGAACCAUGGUGCAGCUCAGCUGAAGUUUGUGGUUUUAUUUUGUUGUUGUUUUUUUUUUUUUCCCAGCUGCUGUAAUUCUUGCACAGAAGUAGGGAGGAUGCAGAUUGUCUCAUUGCUGUAGGCAAGCAGAGGAAGUUCCUUGCCCAUCUGUUCUUUCCAAUGAGUGGACAGUGUGCUCCUGAAGGGAUAAUGACAUAAAAAAUCAAGAGGAAAACUCAGCAGUAAACGUUGUUAAGUUAUCCUUAUUGUCCUCCUCAAGAACUGGAGGAAAAGUGUUUCAAAUGCGUGAGAGAUACUGAUAGAAAAAUAACUGCUGUGCUGACUGUGGUGCUGACAGUUUUGAAAAGCUGCCUUACCAAAGGGCUAGAAUAUUUAAAAAUGAAAAAUGAUUUAACAACUUACCGUGCGAGAACGUUGCAGGAAUAGUCUGUAAGAUAAAUGUAGCCAUUAACUGCUAAGGAGAGUGGCAAGUACGGUAACAACCUGACAGCAUAUUAGGGGAUGAUUUAACUUAUAAACCAAGUUAUGCAUUUUUUUCCCCUUAACUAGUUCAAAAUUCACAUGUUACUGAGAUGGUCUAGAUUAAACUUUAAUUCUGCUUUUAAUUUUUUUAUCCUAAGAUAAGAUUACCCACUGAAUUUCCUCAAUAAAUUGUUUCAGUGAAGUCAGAUCAGUGUAAUGAGUUACCUAACAUUUAUGUUAAGAGCAGUAUUUUUUUUUUCCUCUUAUGAACCAACUUGAAGGAGCAUUUUCUGAAAUGUUUGAACUCUGUACAUGGGAAAAAAAAUGCGAUUGCUGAGUUAGUGCAUCCCAAACCAUCUUUAUUUUGGUUGAAGGAGCAUGGCAGGUGACGUGUGCUAGCACAUAUUAGUUCAAUUUCUACAGCUGCAAAGUCAGAGUUUGAUUCAGUAAUGAAGUCGGCUCUUUACUGGACGUCGUUUGACGAGCAGUGUCUUCAGGCGAUAUCCAACUUGAAGACUAUUUCACAAAGAGUUGAUAUGGAACCUGUGCAACCUUACUGCAACUUCAUUUUCAACCUGUUGAGAUCAUCAGUUUACACACAGUCCAAUAGGAAAUAUUUAUUUUGUUCAAAUGUGCAUCCUGUGUUUUCCAAAGUGUUUGCAACUGAUUAAUGUGUAAUAUUAAAGAAUAUGGGUAAAUGUGUGCGUAGACUUUGCCUACAUCUGAAAAGUAUGCAUGUGAAUCUUAUCAAUGUCUAGACUUACUGCUAACAACUAUAAAUCAGCUUAGGUCUUCACAGUUUGGAGCAAAGUAUUAGAAUAACAGACCUAGAAAAAACACAUUCAAUAGCAGGUUUGGUUUACAGAGGAAAAUAGAGAAGUUAUUUUUGAAGAUUUUCCUCAAGAGCCAUUGUUACCUCUAAGCCAACCUGUGUUCUUUUGAAGUCAUCUCCCUUUUAAGAGUGGUGUUUGAACCUGUUGUAGAAAAUGCCCAGAUGCAGGAUUAACAGUUCUUAAAAUGGCUUGGAUAUAGUUUUCUGAAAUAUGUGAACUGAAUUAAAACAUUUUGGACAACUGAAGAAGAAUUGGCUGUUCUCAAAACUUAACACUGGAAAUGGUGAAACAUCUCCCAGUUACUCUGCAGCCGUUGAGUGACGUUGAUUUUCCUUUUAAUCUCUUCCAACAGCUGGAAGAGUUCCCAGAUACGUGACUUUGAUGCAUCCUCCACCAUAUGGAUCGCCUCCUCUUUCCUAUCUUCUUUUUCUUACUUUAUCCUCAGGCUGACUUAAGACUUCGCAGCGCUUUGCACCUCAGCUUUUGUUACAUUGGGGUGCCCGUUCUGAUGCGCGGUUUUGUCGUGGCCUGACAGCCACUGGAGCUGCAGAUCCUGGAGCUGUGAGCGUUCCCGUUAACGGCACAGCGCCGGUGCCGCAGGCUGCGGAAGCUUCAGGUGUUCAGAAAACCCUUGAUGUGGUGGCACAUGUGAAUGCAAGAGUGAGUGUGUGUGCAGCCUCUUUCUGGACUGGAGAACUUGGGAGCUAUGUCACGGGCUGUGGCAGCCUUGUCCUUGGUUACUGCUGUAUGUAUUUUCUCUUGUACACCAAUACAUUCCUUUUCUGAGAACACUUUCUCAUUUACAACUAUAAAUUAAUCUAGUUUAGUCUUUUGCUGUAAUUUUUCAGGGCUUGGGAAAGUGUCAGUUGCAGCUUAGCCAGUUUUAAUACAAUAGUUAUUGCAACUGAAUACUGGCCUUUGUUUCGUGCAUUGUUCCCACUUCUCUCUCUGCCAGCAGGUACUUAUUUUCUUAAUCUUAUCUACUUGAUUCUUGCUACCUUAGCUAAGAGAUGAACAGAAACAGUUUUCACUUUAUAAGCCACUGUCUUGGAUGUUCACGUUUGACAAUUUUUGUCCUAAUACCUGCAAAGUUUUCCUCCUCCUAAUCUUAAUACUGCAAAGUGUUAAUUGGUUUCUGUGGAAUGCAGACUUGACAAACUUGACUCUUAAAACUUAAACUUAUACCUCUGUAAAUGAAUUUUUAGUUGCUCUGUUGGGAGAACUGUAUUUCAAAAGCACUUACUGCCUAAAAAUAUCAAAACCUGGGGCACUUUUAGAACUAGUAUUAGUUAACAGUCUACAUAUUCCAAUAAUUCCUCACUACAUUGAGUUUAAUUCCCAAGACUGACCUGGCGUACCUGAGGUGUGAAUACAUGUAUUACAGAAUAAUAAUCCCAGAUAAGGGCUGAGGUUGAUGUUCAGCACCAUAACAUCUUUAGUAGCCACUCCCAGAUCUGCUAGAACGCUCAGGUGUGGUUGUAGGUCAGUCUAAACCAGGCUGCAUGUGGCCUGGCACGGCCCCGGGCAUGUACCCAGCACUCGGCAACAACCAACCCAUUGGUGUGCUGUUAACAGUGUCUGGACUGAAGCCCGGGCACAGGGUGCAGUGCGGUACUAGCUCAAGUUGUGGCAAUUGUAUGCAUUUUGAUCCACUGGCUAAACACACUUCUGUGAACAGUGAACGUAUGCAGUCCUGCUUUCCGUUUUGAUAAAGGAAUUUGAGAAUAGGUUUCAAGAUUGCUGAAAAAAAUGAUCAGUUUUUUGGUACAUUUCUGACUCUGUUGUUAGUUAACAUAUAUACAUUAUCUGAAAAUUUUCGAAUAGAAUGUAUAACAUUGCAAUCAAAUAUUGUAUAUCAAAUGUUCAACUCAAAGAAAAAAUUGAUUGCGUCUCUACUAGACUUUUAUGAGACCUCUCUUACCAGAGAAAAAUCUCCCUCGCUUCACAACCACGCUUUAUUGAUGCUGUCACUUUUUGGUGGUAUGUACAUUUGUGAACAACAGUUUUCAAAGAUGUAGUGCAGGAAGGGUAAAAUUUCAUCAAAAAUCAGAUACCUUGAGAAUUCACUGAGAAUUGUAACCACUUCCAUUGAGCCAGACUUAGUUUCACAAAAACAAGGUCAAUUAUGCCACUAGUUUUAUGUUUUUGUUGUUCUUCUUGUAAUGUUUUAAUAAAAAAAAAAAGAAAAUAUUUGGUUAAUUAUAUGCAUUAACUAUACUAUAUAUUUUAUAUACAGCCCAAGACAAUUUCUCUUCCCUCAGUGUGGCCCAGGCAAGCCAAAAGUUUGGACAUCCACGAUGUAAACCCUUCUAAGCCCUGACUGUUGCCUUUCCAAUCCUCCCUUUGUGCUUCACUCUGCUCAGUCACUCAGCUGUUUCCAAGAUCCGAAUUGAACAAAAAUCUAGUCACUUUUUUUUUUUUUGAGGAUUAAUUUUUUUGUCGGUCAUUUCCCCGAAUCUGCUCUCCAUGUGACUGUGUAAAUGCCAGCACUGAUACGAGAUAUGGUGGGAGCAUGUGCAGAGUCUUAGGAAAAUGAGAUUGUUUCACCCCAAACUUCACAUCAGCUGUGAAUUUGCUGUGGAAGCUUGUUCUGAGAUGCUUGAGAGUUGAUUUGUGCCAUCACAUUGGUAACUGUUCUGAUUACUCUGCGUAUCACCUGCUGUAUGGGAUUGUUUUCUAAACCUUACAGCUUUGUGUGCUGGCGUGGAUGGAGCUGUGCCAGCACGAAUCAGGUUCUGUAGCCUCAUCAAAAUAUAAACCAAACUGUGUUGCAGACUUUGUCUAAUUGUGCUGUAGGCAUGGAGUAGCUAUGCUUGAAUAAUUGCAGUUCUGAGAGGAUGUUUUCCCUGACCUUUUUUGAAUGUACUCUACCAAAUGUAAGUUAGCUAACAUUUUUUUCCCAGAUAUGCUGUGCUGCAGUCCUUCUUUGUGAACUGAGCCUGCACAAAGAAUUCUAGUCUGCCUUCACUCCUUUCCUUCAGCGGGCCACUGAGGAGCUUGAGGCAGGGCACCGUGCCACACAUCACUCAACGCCGGUGGAUUUAACUGGAAAUGAGUAGCUGGAAAAAAAAUGAAAAUAAACAGAAAUUCUUCCUGAAGUA